GCCUGUGUGGCGCAGUGGUAGCGCUUUCCACUCGUAGCGGAUUUUUAUCCCGGAAUGGAAGGGUCCCGUGUUCAAUCCGCGGCGGAGGCA